rnacentral:rRNA from 1 species
GGCCACAGCCAUAUCACCCUGCAGCCCAAGACUGGUUGCCCACUGAAGCUAAGCAGGGUUGAGCCUGGUCAGUACCUGGAUGGGAGAUCUCCUGGGAAAACUAGGUUGCUGUUGGAA